UACGUAGGGUGCGAGCGUUGUCCGGAAUUAUUGGGCGUAAAGAGCUCGUAGGCGGUGUGUCACGUCGGCCGUGAAAACCUGCAGCUUAACUGUGGGCGUGCGGUCGAUACGGGCAUCACUGGAGUUCGGCAGGGGAGACUGGAAUUCCUGGUGUAGCGGUGAAAUGCGCAGAUAUCAGGAGGAACACCGGUGGCGAAGGCGGGUCUCUGGGCCGAUAACUGA
rnacentral:rRNA from 1 species